rnacentral:tRNA from 1 species
GAGGGGCGGUUCAACCAACAAGAACUGCUA